GGUUAAGCGACUAAGCGUACACGGUGGAUGCCCUGGCAGUCAGAGGCGAUGAAGGACGUGCUAAUCUGCGAAAAGCGUCGGUAAGGUGAUAUGAACCGUUAUAACCGGCGAUGUCCGAAUGGGGAAACCCAGUGCAAUUCGUUGCACUAUCGUUAACUGAAUACAUAGGUUAACGAGGCGAACCGGGGGAACUGAAACAUCUAAGUACCCCGAGGAAAAGAAAUCAACCGAGAUUCCCCCAGUAGCGGCGAGCGAACGGGGAGCAGCCCAGAGUCUGAAUCAGCUUGUGUGUUAGUGGAACGGUCUGGAAAGUCCGACGGUACAGGGUGAUAGUCCCGUACACCAAAAUGCACAGGUUGUGAACUCGAAGAGUAGGGCGGGACACGUGGUAUCCUGUCUGAAUAUGGGGGGACCAUCCUCCAAGGCUAAAUACUCCUGACUGACCGAUAGUGAACCAGUACCGUGAGGGAAAGGCGAAAAGAACCCCGGCGAGGGGAGUGAAAAAGAACCUGAAACCGUGUACGUACAAGCAGUGGGAGCACCUUCGGGUGUGACUGCGUACCUUUUGUAUAAUGGGUCAGCGACUUAUAUUCUGUAGCAAGGUUAACCGUAUAGGGGAGCCGCAGGGAAACCGAGUCUUAACUGGGCGUUAAGUUGCAGGGUAUAGACCCGAAACCCGGUGAUCUAGCCAUGGGCAGGUUGAAGGUUGGGUAACACUAACUGGAGGACCGAACCGACUAAUGUUGAAAAAUUAGCGGAUGACUUGUGGCUGGGGGUGAAAGGCCAAUCAAACCGGGAGAUAGCUGGUUCUCCCCGAAAGCUAUUUAGGUAGCGCCUCGUGAAUUCAUCUUCGGGGGUAGAGCACUGUUUCGGCUAGGGGGUCAUCCCGACUUACCAACCCGAUGCAAACUACGAAUACCGAAGAAUGUUAUCACGGGAGACACACGGCGGGUGCUAACGUCCGUCGUGAAGAGGGAAACAACCCAGACCGCCAGCUAAGGUCCCAAAGUCAUGGUUAAGUGGGAAACGAUGUGGGAAGGCACAGACAGCCAGGAUGUUGGCUUAGAAGCAGCCAUCAUUUAAAGAAAGCGUAAUAGCUCACUGGUCGAGUCGGCCUGCGCGGAAGAUGUAACGGGGCUAAACCAUGCACCGAAGCUGCGGCAGCGACACUAUGUGUUGUUGGGUAGGGGAGCGUUCUGUAAGCCUGCGAAGGUGACCUGUGAGGGUUGCUGGAGGUAUCAGAAGUGCGAAUGCUGACAUAAGUAACGAUAAAGCGGGUGAAAAGCCCGCUCGCCGGAAGACCAAGGGUUCCUGUCCAACGUUAAUCGGGGCAGGGUGAGUCGACCCCUAAGGCGAGGCCGAAAGGCGUAGUCGAUGGGAAACAGGUUAAUAUUCCUGUACUUGGUGUUACUGCGAAGGGGGGACGGAGAAGGCUAUGUUAGCCGGGCGACGGUUGUCCCGGUUUAAGCAUGUAGGCUGGUUAUCCAGGCAAAUCCGGAUAAUCAAGGCUGAGGUGUGAUGACGAGGCACUACGGUGCUGAAGUAACAAAUGCCCUGCUUCCAGGAAAAGCCUCUAAGCAUCAGGUAACAUCAAAUCGUACCCCAAACCGACACAGGUGGUCAGGUAGAGAAUACCAAGGCGCUUGAGAGAACUCGGGUGAAGGAACUAGGCAAAAUGGUGCCGUAACUUCGGGAGAAGGCACGCUGGUGUGUAGGUGAAGCCCCUGCGGGUGGAGCUGAGACCAGUCGAAGAUACCAGCUGGCUGCAACUGUUUAUUAAAAACACAGCACUGUGCAAACACGAAAGUGGACGUAUACGGUGUGACGCCUGCCCGGUGCCGGAAGGUUAAUUGAUGGGGUUAUCCGUAAGGAGAAGCUCUUGAUCGAAGCCCCGGUAAACGGCGGCCGUAACUAUAACGGUCCUAAGGUAGCGAAAUUCCUUGUCGGGUAAGUUCCGACCUGCACGAAUGGCGUAAUGAUGGCCAGGCUGUCUCCACCCGAGACUCAGUGAAAUUGAACUCGCUGUGAAGAUGCAGUGUACCCGCGGCAAGACGGAAAGACCCCGUGAACCUUUACUAUAGCUUGACACUGAACAUUGAGCCUUGAUGUGUAGGAUAGGUGGGAGGCUUUGAAGCGUGGACGCCAGUCUGCGUGGAGCCAACCUUGAAAUACCACCCUUUAAUGUUUGAUGUUCUAACGUUGGCCCCUUACCGGGGUUGCGGACAGUGUCUGGUGGGUAGUUUGACUGGGGCGGUCUCCUCCCAAAGCGUAACGGAGGAGCACGAAGGUUAGCUAAUCCUGGUCGGACAUCAGGAGGUUAGUGCAAUGGCAUAAGCUAGCUUGACUGCGAGCGUGACGGCGCGAGCAGGUGCGAAAGCAGGUCAUAGUGAUCCGGUGGUUCUGAAUGGAAGGGCCAUCGCUCAACGGAUAAAAGGUACUCCGGGGAUAACAGGCUGAUACCGCCCAAGAGUUCAUAUCGACGGCGGUGUUUGGCACCUCGAUGUCGGCUCAUCACAUCCUGGGGCUGAAGUAGGUCCCAAGGGUAUGGCUGUUCGCCAUUUAAAGUGGUACGCGAGCUGGGUUUAGAACGUCGUGAGACAGUUCGGUCCCUAUCUGCCGUGGGCGCUGGAGAAUUGAGGGGGGCUGCUCCUAGUACGAGAGGACCGGAGUGGACGCAUCACUGGUGUUCGGGUUGUCAUGCCAAUGGCACUGCCCGGUAGCUAAAUGCGGAAGAGAUAAGUGCUGAAAGCAUCUAAGCACGAAACUUGCCCCGAGAUGAGUUCUCCCUGAGACUUUAAGUCUCCUGAAGGAACGUUGAAGACGACGACGUUGAUAGGCCGGGUGUGUAAGCGCAGCGAUGCGUUGAGCUAACCGGUACUAAUGAACCGUGAGGCUUAACCUU
rnacentral:rRNA from 1 species